UUAAGAUACUAAGAGCAUACGGUGGAUGCCUUGGCGAUAUCUGCCGACGAAGGACGUGACAAGCUGCGAAAAGCUGCGGAGAGAUGCAAAUAAUCGACGACCCGCAGAUAUCCGAAUGGAGCAAUCCGGCUGUGGUGAUGCACAGCCAUCCAUGCCCAAGAGCAUGAGAAGGGAACCGGGCGAACUGAAACAUCUAAGUAGCCCGAGGAAAAGAAAUCAAACGAGAUACCCCCAGUAGCGGCGAGCGAACAGGGAAGAAGCCCAAACCGGGGAAGGAAACUUCUCCGGGGUUGAGGACCAUCAGACCCGCGAAGAACUUUAGCCGAACCUGUUGGGAAACAGGGCCAAAGACAGUGAAAGCCUGGUAGGCGAAAAAGGGAAACGCGGAGAUGGCACCAGAGUACCGCGGGACACGAGAAAUCCCGUGGGAAGCAGGGGGGACCACCCUCCAAGGCAAAACACAGAUAUCGACCGAUAGCGCAUAGUACCAUGAGGGAAAGGUGAAAAGCACCCCGGGAGGGGAAUGAAAGAGAACCUGAAACCGUAUGUUUACAAGCAGUCGGAGACCGCUUAAUAAUAAGGUCGACGGCGUGCCUAUUGAAGAAUGAACCGGCGAGUUACGAAGCCUGGCAAGGUUAAGCAGGAAAUGCGGAGCCGAAGCGAAAGCGAGUCUUAAGAGGGCGCAAGUCAGGAAGCGUAGACCCGAAACCACAGUGAUCUACCCAUGUCCAGGUUGAAACACAGGUAAAAAUGUGUGGAGGACCGAACCUAUAUCCGUUGAAAAGGGUUAGGAUGAGGUGUGGGUAGGGGUGAAAUUCCAAUCGAACGUGGAGAUAGCUGGUUCUCCCCGAAAUAGCUUUAGGGCUAGCCUCAGGGAAAAGAUUGCAGGCGGUAGAGCACUGAUCAGGAGAGGGACCUACCCGGUUACCAAACCCAGUCAAACUCCGAAUGGCUGCAAUCAUACCUGGGAGUCAGACUGCGACUAAUAAGGGCCGCAGUCAAAAGGGAAACAGCCCAGACCAUCAGCUAAGGUCCCCAAUGCCGUGCUAAGUGGCGAAGGAUGUGGCAUUUCAUAAACAACCAGGAUGUUGGCUCAGAAGCAGCCACCAUUUAAAGAGUGCGUAAUAGCUCACUGGUCGAGAGACGCUGCGCCGAAAAUGUCCGGGGCUCAAGCACGGAACCGAAGCUAUGGCAUGAUAGCAAUAUCAUGGGUAGGGGAGCGUUCUUAUAAGGAAGAAGCAUGACUGGAAGGACAUGUGGACGAAUAAGAAGUGAGAAUGCCGGUAUGAGUAUCGAAAAGAAAGGUGAGAAUCCUUUCCACCGAAAGCCCGAGGGUUCCUGAGCAACGAUCGUCGACUCAGGGUAAGUCGGGACCUAAGCCGAGGCGAGAAGCGUAGGCGAUGGACAACAGGUUGAAAUUCCUGUACCGGAUCAAGUCGAUUGAGCGAAGGAGCGACGCAGGAGGGCACAUGAUCGCGCGGCUGGAAGAGCGCGUCCAAGUGCGUAUGUUGCUGCAGAGGAAAACCCCUGUAGCUAAAAGCAGAGACAUGAUGGGGAGUUAAAGGAAACUUUGACGAACUCAUGGAUCCCACACUGCCAAGAAAAACUUCUAGCGAGACAAGAUCCGCCCGUACCGUAAACCGACACAGGUAGGCGGGGAGAGAAUCCUAAGGUGCGCGGGAAAACCCUCGUUAAGGAACUCGGCAAAUUGCAUCCGUAACCUAGGGAGAAGGAUGGCCCCCGGUCAGUGAAGAGCAGAAACGCUCAGAGCUAAAAGGGGCGGCAGAAAAGAGGCCCAAGCAACUGUUUACCAAAAACACAGGUGCCUGCGAAAGCGAAAGCUGAAGUAUAGGUGCUGACGCCUGCCCGGUGCCGGAAGGUUAAGGAGAGAAGUUAGCGAAAGCGAAGCAUCGAACUGAAGCCCCGGUGAACGGCGGCCGUAACUAUAACGGUCCUAAGGUAGCGAAAUUCCUUGUCGGGUAAGUUCCGACCCGCAUGAAAGGCGUAAUGAUUUGGGCACUGUCUCAACGAGGGGCCCGGUGAAAUUGAAAUACCUGUGAAGAUGCAGGUUACCCGCGACUGGACAGAAAGACCCCAUGGAGCUUCACUGCAGCUUGAGAUUGAAUCCCGGUGACAGAUGCACAGGAUAGGUGGGAGGCGCCGAAGCAUUGCCCUAGGGCGGUGCGGAGCCGAUGUUGGGAUACCACCCUUCUGUUGCUGAGAUUCUAACGCGAGGAGUAACGACCCUGCGGACCCUCUCAGGCAGGCGGUUUGACUGGGGCGGUCGCCUCCGAAAGAGUAACGGAGGCG
rnacentral:rRNA from 1 species